rnacentral:tRNA from 1 species
CAGGAAAUAGCUUAUAAUAAAGUAUGUUUUUUACAUGAAUAUUAAGAAUUUUUAAUUCUUUUCUGA